GAUGAACGCUGGCGGCGUGCCUAAUACAUGCCAGUCGAGCGAACAGACGAGGAGCUUGCUCCUCUGACGUUAGCGGCGGACGGGUGAGUAACACGUGGAUAACCUACCUAUAAGACUGGGAUAACUUCGGGAAACCGGAGCUAAUACCGGAUAAUAUAUUGAACCGCAUGGUUCAAUAGUGAAAGACGGUUUUGCUGUCACUUAUAGAUGGAUCCGCGCCGCAUUAGCUAGUUGGUAAGGUAACGGCUUACCAAGGCAACGAUGCGUAGCCGACCUGAGAGGGUGACCGGCCACACUGGAACUGAGACACGGUCCAGACUCCUACGGGAGGCAGCAGUAGGGAAUCUUCCGCAAUGGGCGAAAGCCUGACGGAGCAACGCCGCGUGAGUGAUGAAGGUCUUCGGAUCGUAAAACUCUGUUAUUAGGGAAGAACAAAUGUGUAAGUAACUAUGCACGUCUUGACGGUACCUAAUCAGAAAGCCACGGCUAACUACGUG
rnacentral:rRNA from 1 species